GAUGAACGCUGGCGGCGUGCCUAAUACAUGCAAGUCGAGCGAACGGACGAGAAGCUUGCUUCUCUGAUGUUAGCGGCGGACGGGUGAGUAACACGUGGAUAACCUACCUAUAAGACUGGGAUAACUUCGGGAAACCGGAGCUAAUACCAGAUGAUAUUUUGAACCGCAUGGUUCAAAAGUGAAAGACGGUCUUGCUGUCACUUAUAGAUGGAUCCGCGCUGCAUUAGCUAGUUGGUAAGGUAACGGCUUACCAAGGCAACGAUGCAUAGCCGACCUGAGAGGGGGAUCGGCCACACUGGAACUGAGACACGGUCCAGACUCCUACGGGAGGCAGCAGUAGGGAAUCUUCCGCAAUGGGCGGAAGCCUGACGGAGCAACGCCGCGUGAGUGAUGAAGGUCUUCGGAUCGUAAAACUCUGUUAUUAGGGAAGAACAUAUGUGUAAGUAACUGUGCACAUCUUGACGGUACCUAAUCAGAAAGCCACGGCUAACUACGUG
rnacentral:rRNA from 1 species